UGCCAGCCACCGCGGUUAUACGAGAGGCCCAAAUUGAUGAAAAACGGCGUAAAGCGUGGUUAAGAAAAAAGAGAAAAUAUGGCCGAACAACUUCAAAGCAGUUAUACGCAUCCGAAGUCACGAAGAACAAUCACGAAAGUUGCCCUAAAACCUCCGAUUCCACGAAAGCCAUAAAACAAACUGGGAUUAGAUACCCCACUAUGUAUGGUCGUUAACAUUGAUGGUUUUAUACCCAAACCAUCCGCCUGGGAACUACGAGCAAUAGCUUAAAACCCAAAGGACUUGGCGGUGCUUUAGACCCCCCUAGAGGAGCCUGUUCUAGAACUGAUAACCCCCGUUUAACCUCACCAUCCUUUGUUUUCCCCGCCUAUAUACCACCGUCGUCAGCUUACCCUGUGAAGGGAAAAUAGUAAGCAUAAAUGGCAAAGCCAAAAACGUCAGGUCGAGGUGUAGCGUAUGGGGUGGGAAGAAAUGGGCUACAUUCUCUAUUACAGAGAAUACGAAUUGUAAUUUGAAAAAAAUUACCUGAAGGAGGAUUUAGCAGUAAGUAGGGACUAGAGUGCCCUGCUGAAAACGGCCCUGAAGCGCGCACACACCGCCCGUCACUCUCUCCAAAUAAACCCUAGAUAUUACCUAAAAUGCUUUUUAUAAUAAGGGGAGGCAAGUCGUAACAUGGUAAGCGUACCGG
rnacentral:rRNA from 1 species